UCAAGCUACAAAGGGCGCAUGGUGAAUGCCUUGGCAUCAGGAGCCGAUGAAGGACGUGAUAAGCUGCGAUAAGCUUCGGGUAGGCGCACAUAGCCUGAGAUCCGAAGAUCUCCGAAUGAGGAAACUCACAUGGGAAACCCCAUGUAUCAUUAAGUGAAUACAUAGCUUAAUGAAGGUAACCCAGGGAACUGAAACAUCUAAGUACCUGGAGGAAGAGAAAGAAAAAUCGAUUUUCUUAGUAGCGGCGAGCGAAAGGGAAAGAGCCCAAACCGGAAACUUGUUUCCGGGGUUGUGGACAUAACAUAAAAGUGGAGGCUAUUGUAACUGAAGAGAACUGGAAAGUUCCACCGUAGAAGGUAAUAGUCCUGUAAGUGAAACGAGAAGACCACGAGUUAUGAUCCAGAGUACCACGAGACACGUGAAACCUUGUGGGAAGCAGGGAGGACCACCUCCCAAGGCUAAAUACUACCUGAUGACCGAUAGUGAAGCAGUACCGUGAGGGAAAGGUGAAAAGAACCCCGGGAGGGGAGUGAAAUAGAACCUGAAACCGUGUGCCUACAACCGCUCAGAGCCCCUUAUGAGGGUGAUGAGGUGCUUUUUGUAGAACGAGUCAACGAGUUACGGUAUGUAGCAAGGUUAAGUACUUAAGGUACGGAGCCGAAGGGAAACCGAGUCUGAAUAGGGCGACUAGUUGCAUGCCGUAGACCCGAAACCGGGUGACCUAUCCAUGGCCAGGUUGAAGCGAGGGUAAAACCUCGUGGAGGACCGAACCACGUUGCUGUUGAAAAAGCAUGGGAUGAGCUGUGGAUAGCGGAGAAAUUCCAAUCGAACCCGGAGAUAGCUGGUUCUCUCCGAAAUAGCUUUAGGGCUAGCGUCGAGUAUGAGUAGUGGAGGUAGAGCACUGAAUGGGCUAGGGGGCAUAGCGCUUACCGAACCUUAUCAAACUCCGAAUGCCACAUACUUUGAGCUCGGCAGUCAGACUACGAAUGAUAAGAUCCGUGGUCAAAAGGGAAACAGCCCAGAUCGUCAGCUAAGGUCCCAAAGUGUAAGUUAAGUGGGAAAGGAUGUGAGAUUUCUAAGACAACUAGGAUGUUGGCUUAGAAGCAGCCAUUCAUUAAAAGAGUGCGUAAUAGCUCACUAGUCGAGAGAUCUUGCGCCGAAAAUGUAACGGGGCUAAACUUACCACCGAAGCUACGGGCUUGAACUUAGUUCAAGCGGUAGGAGAGCGUCGUAACCGGGCUGAAGUCGUACCGUAAGGAGCGGUGGACUGGUUACGAGUGAGAAUGUUGGCAUCAGUAGCGAGAUGUGGGUGAGAAUCCCACAGGCCGAAAACCUAAGGUUUCCUCAGGAAGGUUCGUCCGCUGAGGGUUAGUCGGGACCUAAGCCGAGGCCGAAAGGCGUAGGUGAUGGACAACUGGUUGAUAUUCCAGUACCACUACCAUCGUUAUUAUCGAUGGCGUGACGCAGGAGGAUAGUGUGUGCUAGCUAUUGGAUGCUAGUCUAAGCGUUUAGGCAGUGAGAGUAGGCAAAUCCGCUCUCAUAAUGCUGAGGCGUGAUGGGGAAGGUUCUACGGAACCGAAGUACAUGAUUCCACGCUGCCAAGAAAAGCGUCUAGAGAGAGAAGUAGUGCCCGUACCGCAAACCGACACAGGUAGGUGAGGAGAGAAUCCUAAGGCCGGCGGAAGAAUUACAGUUAAGGAACUCGGCAAAUUGACCCCGUAAGUUCGCGAGAAGGGGUGCCUACGAGAGUAGGCCGCAGAGAAUAGGCCCAAGCAACUGUUUAGCAAAAACACAGGUCUCUGCUAAAGCGUAAGCUGAUGUAUAGGGGCUGACGCCUGCCCGGUGCUGGAAGGUUAAGGGGAACACUUAGCGCAAGCGAAGGUGUGAACUUAAGCCCCAGUAAACGGCGGCCGUAACUAUAACGGUCCUAAGGUAGCGAAAUUCCUUGUCAGGUAAGUUCUGACCCGCACGAAUGGCGUAAUGACUUGGGCACUGUCUCAACUGUAAAUCCGGCGAAGUUGUAGUGCGAGUGAAGAUGCUCGCUACCCGCGAUUGGACGGAAAGACCCCGUAGAGCUUUACUGUAGCUUAGCAUUGAGUUUUGGUAUUGUCUGUACAGGAUAGGUGGGAGACUAGGAAACCAGGGCGUCAGCCUUGGUGGAGUCAACCUUGGGAUACCACCCUGACAGUACUGAAAUUCUAACUGGCGGCCAUGAAUCUGGUCACAGGACAUUGUUAGGUGGGCAGUUUGACUGGGGCGGUCGCCUCCUAAAAAGUAACGGAGGCGCCCAAAGGUUCCCUCAGAACGGUCGGAAAUCGUUCGAAGAGUGCAAAGGCAGAAGGGAGCCUGACUGCGACACCCACAAGUGGAGCAGGGACGAAAGUCGGGCUUAGUGAUCCGGUGGUACCUCGUGGGAGGGCCAUCGCUCAACGGAUAAAAGCUACCUCGGGGAUAACAGGCUGAUCUCCCCCAAGAGUCCACAUCGACGGGGAGGUUUGGCACCUCGAUGUCGGCUCGUCGCAUCCUGGGGCUGAAGUAGGUCCCAAGGGUUGGGCUGUUCGCCCAUUAAAGCGGCACGCGAGCUGGGUUCAGAACGUCGUGAGACAGUUCGGUCCCUAUCCGUCGCGGGCGUAGGAAAUUUGAGAGGAGCUGUCCUUAGUACGAGAGGACCGGGAUGGACUGACCUCUGGUGUACCAGUUGUUCCGCCAGGAGCACAGCUGGGUAGCUAAGUCGGGAAUGGAUAAACGCUGAAAGCAUCUAAGCGUGAAGCCAACCUCAAGAUGAGAUUUCCCAUAGCAUAAGCUAGUAAGAUCCCUUGAAGAACACAAGGUUGAUAGGUCGGGGGUGUAAGCAUGGUAACAUGUUCAGCUGACCGAUACUAAUAGAUCGAGGGCUUGACCAA
rnacentral:rRNA from 1 species